rnacentral:rRNA from 1 species
GACGAACGCUGGCGGCGUGCUUAACACAUGCAAGUCGAACGGAGCGGCGAACGGGUGAGGAACGGGUGAGUAACUGCCCCCCUCCCUGGGAUAACAGUGGGAAACGGCUGCGAAUACCGGAUAGUGGGGGCUGACUGGGGUCUGAUCAGCUUGUUGGUGGGGUAGUGGCGUACCAAGGGGACGACGGGUAGCCGGCCUGGGAGGGGGACCGGCGACAUUGGGCUGAGAUACGGCCCAAGGUCGUACGGGGGGCAGCAGCGGGGAGGAUUGCACAAUGAGGGAACCCCUGAGGCAGGAACGCGGGGGCGGGAUGACGGCCUCCGGGUUCUAAACCGCUCUCAGCCAUGACGCGGUAGUGGCAGAAGAAGCACCGGCUAACUACGUGCCAGCAGCCGCGGUAAUAC